GGGGAUGUUCCGGAAUUCGACAGGCAUGCCCCGAUGUAUGACUACAUUCCGAAGCGACGACUUCGUAAAAACGUCAAACAGUUUAAAUAUAACUGACAAACAAGAAAAUCAAACUUUAGCAUUCGCUGCCUAGCAGCAUGCUAAGAUCCGCCUAGUAUCGCCCAUGUAUUAGUUUCGGGUCCUAUUGAAGUGGGAUACGCUCUAACUUUCCACCUGGAAGUUAGAGAAGAGAUUCACCAGGUUCGCUAACCAGAUCGGUUUGUCAUAAGACCCCUGGGGCGCUAAAAUGAAUCUUAUGACUAUGAGUGUAAACGUCAUAUAAUCGGAAUGUCUGGACAGGGGUUCGACUCCCCUCAUCUCCAUUG
rfam:Aerococcus sanguinicola strain CCTG43001, complete genome.